UUGACCAACAAUUUGUGAACAAAUGACUUUCUGUGCGCAUCAUUUAAUGCCUCGUGUCCUGCAUUGCAUUCGAGUCUGUUUGAAAUGUUUGCGACAAGUGUAAAAUGUAGACUUGGCUGUUAGCCUAGCAUGCUAGCUGGCUAGCAAAAAAAAAAAAAAAAAGCACUGAGUGAAAACUAGCCUUAGCCCUGUUAUUUUCGCAGCACCGUCAUGCGGCGACGACGAUGCCGGCUGACUUUGAAGUACAGAGGUGGAAAACAGCAGGAGCCAUCCCGGCUACCUGCUGCUUCCGAAGAGAGGGGGGCUGAACGAGCUAUUUGAUGGGGAACAAUGGGGGGAUUUGGGUGCGCUAAACCACAGCCAUGGCAACUGAGGCGGAGUGAUGGCCAUCAUGUGGAAUUAAAGGGGCAAAAAUAACACGGGGAAAGUGAAGGCUGUCCAAAAAAAACCCCCAAAACAGCGCUCAAGUUGAACAAAAUGGGCUACUCUCAUAAUGUUAAUUUCCACAAAAAGAGCCCAAAUUAACAAUGGGGUCCUCUUGACCUCGCCCCAAAUAAAUGUUUUCCAAGUGGGUGCCAUGUUAUGAGAUGGCUGCAAUUACUUUCUCCCAGGGCAGCUGAACGGCAUCUGUAAAGAUGGCAUUUACGCUCGGAGCUCAAAUUACAAAGUGCUGCCGCUAGCCUGAAAUGAUCUCAGACAUUAUCUUGAGACCACC